GGGGCUAUAGCUCAGUUGGUAGAGCACAUCCAUGGCAUGGAUGGGGUCGGGAGUUCAACUCUCCCUAGCUCCA
rnacentral:tRNA from 1 species